rnacentral:sRNA from 1 species
UCAUAGCCCUGAUUGCAGUGAAAAUCCUUUUUAUUUUUUCUUUAAAAAUAAAAAGAUUGUAACGGAAAGCGGGACACGAG